CUGUGGGUUGAAGCAUUGGUGUCCUUGACAUAGUGAUGUUCUUGUCAGCAAUACACAUUCACACAGGACUUCUUCAGCUCUUCACAGUUUCUCUUCUGUUAGCCCCUCCCUUGUGCCCGAGCAGAGAAAGAAGUCCAGCUUUAUCCUCACUGUGGCUGGGGUUGCCUUACAAUCGAAGGAAACCAUAGGACAAUGGCUGGAAGAAAUGCAGAUUUGGCUGAGACAGUUUACCACUCUUUCCAUGGGCUGCAUGUGCUUGUACAGUGACAGGGUGAGUUCUGUUUCCUGCUGUGCUCCAGUGGUUUGCAGAUAUGAACUAGUACAACACAAAAAAGCCAGUCACUGAUGAAGACAGGACAGCGUCCCCACUUCACAUGCACCUGUAGGAGUUCAGCUGCAAGUAACAGGGAGGUAAAAAUUUCCACCCAUUCGCAUGGGCCAAAAAUAAGUAAUGUAUUACUUUAUGAAGUAACGGGGACUCUUGUUUUUUGCUGAUGAAUGUAUGACUAAUUUGCUCUUCUACAGAGACGUUGGGAGGAGUAACUUGGCAAUCUUGAGAAAAACAAAAAAUGUCCACAUUCUCUG
ensembl:lncRNA AC096301.1